UCUUGUAAAAAAGAUGGGUUUUAUUUCCUUUUGUAACAAGUUUAGUUUUUUCUUUGUUAUUUUCUUUUGUUUCACUAUAACUUAACGUGAGAUAUAAACAAGGAAAAUAUGCUUUACUGGGGCGUACCUUGGUUAUUUUAAGUAUACGCCGAGUUCAGGUCUUUGGUCGAGACUUAUAUCAAAGAUAGCUCUUUGCUAUUACCAGGGAUUGUACUACUUAAAAAUUGUCUUUAUCUAUAGUUAGGAAAGUGACAUCAAGUACAUGUAUUGAAUGUAAGAGAAAUUGCACAGUCUAGCUUAUACACUGGCUUAAAUGAUUCAUAAAAAAGUUAUUUACGACCGUGUAUCAGAAAAAACUAAACAUAGCCAGGUGUCUCUAUUGUUAUAAAGAUGGGUAUAAGAAGUUUUUUCCUUGUUAUUUUUCUUAUGUUUCACCAUACCGAAACAUGAGAUAUAAUCAAGGAAAAUAUUAUUUAAAAUGAUCUGUAUAACGAUAAUACAAGCACAAUAGCUUAAAUGUUUUAGUGUAACAAUAAAGUAUCGUGUUCACAGCUAAAUUGUAGUAUCGCGUGAUCAUUUAAGUCCUUUAAAAGUACAUUGUAUUUCCAAAUGCGCAUUAUGUCAAUGUUAAAGAAAAUAAUUUUUAUCUUUAACAGUGUUUUCUCAACUAUUUUUGUUUCAAUUUUCAUCCGAAAUGUUUAAAUUAGUUCAGUACAUUGUUAAAUGACUAACGCACAUAAAAGCAUGUUGGUAUAUAAUCAGAAGUAGGUGAAAAUAAAAGAAUCUGGACUUGACGUGUCUUAUUAUCUCUUAUAUAGAGAUAGCACGUAUCAGUAGUAACAUUUUUAUCAAGUUUGUUAUCAGAGACUUACUAGCACAUUAACUCUCUCUUGACGUUCUGGUCGGAAUUUGGAGCAUUCCACCUGAAGUUACAUUUACCAUACGUCUGUGUGGACGAAAACUGCGUGUAGUAAAUCAUUAUCCAGUGUUUUGAUUGCACUUUCUGUAAUAAAGAUUAUUGAUAAGU